CCAGAGACCAGGCAGAAACUGUGUCAUUAAGUAGUAAAAACCUCCUCUAGGCGACGUCAAGGGAAGUUAAGAAAAGAAAACUCCCAGAAUGAACGCAAAGGAAAGGCUGGAGAGGAGGAGCAACCAAGGGUGUGCCUGCCCGUCCCCAGGGCCAGGCCGGCUGAGUCCUAGGCUCCUUCCUCAGCCCCUCCAUCCUGUUGAAAAGAGCGAGCUGAAUGGGUCACAAUCCUCUGGGGAGUAGUGGGAAGGCAUCUGAUGAACUGGAAUGUGUACUUUUUUUUUUUUAAAUGAUUCUCACUCCCUGGGGGAAUGGCUUAUUUAACUAACCCGACUUUUCCACAAUGGAUCAAUGUCAGCUGGGAGGAGGCUGGAGGCUGCUUUCCAUUUCUGUGUACAAUCGGCACUCCCUUUUCCUUUACCCCCAAAUAAUCUGCAGAUUCCAGGAAGAUGUGGUGUCUUACCUAUCUUCCUGGCUGGGCUUGGAUCACCCACAGGUGACCUCCAGCUGCUGAGUUAGAGGCAAAAGUGGCUAGUAAGGUCAGCAAAUGGCAACUGGGAGGCACAGCGCACAGCCAGCCAGGGGAAAGGUAGAGGGUAACCUGAGGCCCUUUCUCCCUCUGCCCAUCCUGAUUCACUGGGGCUCAUUCUAGUUACAGUAACUGGGCUCUGUUGAUAGAUACACAGUACCAGCCAGGCUGCAACGAACAGGGCGUCCUGAAGUGUAAACCAGUCUCACACAAGCCGGAAGAUCUUCCCUACCUCUGGAAACACACACACACACACACACACACACACACACACACAAACACAAACACACACAAACACACAUAAACCUUCCAGCAACCACUCAAAGAUAAGUAGGUUGGGGCAAAUUACAAAAGGGAAUGUCUUCUGGAGAAACGGCAUUGAGCAGUGACCACCGUGAUCGACAAUCAACUGGUUAGAUUAUUCCAGGGGCCCUGAGCAGCUGGACAGGUAGAAUGCAAAGGCCAGAGAAUGUACACCUUUGCCCCGGGGCUCCAGGCUGCCAGCCAAGCAGCAGGUGGCAGUGGGGAAGUCACUGAAGGGCAGCAGGAUAGGGUGACUAGCCCAUUAAGGCCAUUGGUCAUGCUCCCUUCCCCCACUUGAGUGUGUUGGCUGUUUCCUGUGGGAAGCAGUGUCAGAGCCUCUGCAUUCUGAAGGACAAUGAGAAGAGCAUCUCCCACGUCCUUCCUCGCCUCCUCUGCCUGCCGCUAAGCCUGACUUUUGUCUCCCCUGCGGAGAAAAACAGCUACCAGGAAUGUCAGCCCUCGAUUGCGUCACCACCGUUCAGCUCAAAGAUGGCGUUCCUGACGGUUUGUGUUUUCUAAAAUGCUGUGCUGAAGUCUACCCUUGGAAGACUGAGUUGCAGAGUUGGAAGGACAUCUGGGUUGACAUGUGAGAACCAGCACCUCAGUGACAUCCUGGACCAUGAAGGGGAAGCCAUAACUAGGAACACAGCUGAGAAGGCUGGAACCAAGCUGGGGCCCCGAUACCCAUGAGCCCACACACUGACAGGAGGACAACUGGUCCCCAGUUUUCAAUGUCACUGUCAAGCUUCAUGAAGUCUAUGGUUUGGGGCUUCCUCUCAAGGGGCUAUAUUAAUCCUAACCCAUGUGUAUGGUGAA
rnacentral:sRNA from 1 species